rnacentral:rRNA from 1 species
GUCGUACGCGUCUUGGUUAUUGAUGUUAGAUGCUUGCAUUUAACUGAUUUAACAUUGAGACGAGUGGCGAACUGGUGAGUAACACGUGGGUAACCUGCCCUUGAAGUAGGGGAUAACACUUGGAAACAGGUGCUAAUACCGUAUAACAACCAAAACCACCUGGUUUUGGUUUAAAAGAUGGCUUCGGCUAUCACUUUAGGAUGGACCCGCGGCGUAUUAGCUUGUUGGUAAGGUACGGCCUACCAAGGCAAUGAUACGUAGCCGACCUGAGAGGGUAAUCGGCCACAUUGGGACUGAGACACGGCCCAAACUCCUACGGGAGGCAGCAGUAGGGAAUCUUCCACAAUGGACGAAAGUCUGAUGGAGCAACGCCGCGUGAGUGAUGAAGGGUUUCGGCUCGUAAAACUCUGUUGUUGGAGAAGAACAGGUGUGAGAGUAACUGUUCACAUCUUGACGGUAUCCAACCAGAAAGCCACGGCUAACUACGUGCCAGCAGCCGCGGUAAUACGUAGGUGGCAAGCGUUGUCCGGAUUUAUUGGGCGUAAAGCGAGCGCAGGCGGUUUCUUAGGUCUGAUGUGAAAGCCUUCGGCUUAACCGGAGAAGUGCAUCGGAAACCAGGAGACUUGAGUGCAGAAGAGGACAGUGGAACUCCAUGUGUAGCGGUGAAAUGCGUAGAUAUAUGGAAGAACACCAGUGGCGAAGGCGGCUGUCUGGUCUGUAACUGACGCUGAGGCUCGAAAGCAUGGGUAGCGAACAGGAUUAGAUACCCUGGUAGUCCAUGCCGUAAACGAUGAGUGCUAAGUGUUGGAGGGUUUCCGCCCUUCAGUGCUGCAGCUAACGCAUUAAGCACUCCGCCUGGGGAGUA